rnacentral:rRNA from 1 species
GUGGGGAAUAUUGGACAAUGGGCGCAAGCCUGAUCCAGCCAUGCCGCGUGUGUGAAGAAGGCCUUCGGGUUGUAAAGCACUUUUGUUGGGAAAGAAAUCCUGUCGGCUAAUACCCGGCGGGGAUGACGGUACCCAAAGAAUAAGCACCGGCUAACUUCGUGCCAGCAGCCGCGGUAAUACGAAGGGUGCAAGCGUUACUCGGAAUUACUGGGCGUAAAGCGUGCGUAGGUGGUUCGUUAAGUCAGAUGUGAAAGCCCCGGGCUCAACCUGGGAAUUGCAUUUGAUACUGGCGGACUAGAGUGCGGUAGAGGAGAGUGGAAUUCCCGGUGUAGCAGUGAAAUGCGUAGAGAUCGGGAGGAACAUCAGUUGCGAAGGCGGCUCUCUGGACCAGCACUGACACUGAGGCACGAAAUCGUGGGGAGCAAACAGGAUUAGAAACCCUAGUAGUCC